rnacentral:tRNA from 2 species
GGGGGCGUGGUGUAGUGGUCGAACAUGUGGCCCUGUCAAGGCCAAGAUCGCGGGUUCAAAUCCCGUCGCUCCCG